rnacentral:rRNA from 1 species
UACAGAGGGGGCAAGCGUUGUUCGGAAUUACUGGGCGUAAAGGGCGCGUAGGCGGCGUGCUAAGUCGAACGUGAAAUCCCCGGGCUCAACCCGGGAACUGCGUCCGAGGCUGGCAGGCUUGAAUCCGGGAGAGGGAUGUGGAAUUCCAGGUGUAGCGGUGAAAUGCGUAGAUAUCUGGAGGAACAUCGGUGGCGAAGGCGGCAUCCUGGACCGGUAUUGACGCUGAGGCGCGAAAGCCAGGGGAGCAAACGGG